GCGUGUGCGUGAGCUUAGCCGACGUCUGUUGUGACUAUGAGAGAGGCUAUAGGUUUGUUAUUUUUGCCGUUGGCUAUGGCGUACAGUAGCCUGUUUUAAGUUUGGAAAUAAACCCCCAUGCAAGCUGAAUAAUGUCUCCUAACUUCAUUGAGUAGAACGCUACAAUACUUUUAUGAAUUGGAUAAAAAGGGCAGGAACUCGAUACAUGUCACCAAAAACUAUGUCCUCUUGUGUGACAUGAUAUCUUGAUUAUAAAUUAGCCACAUUUUUACUAACAACUUAAUUAAAGCCCCAAUAUGUAACUUUUCAACCUUAAAAUCUUUGCUUGUAAGCUCAUCUCAUGAGAGGUACGUACUGCUUUACGGCACUAGUUUACAAGUCCCUUUUGAGUUAGCAGAGACUGUAAAUAUUAGGAGUAAGCUCGUCUCUGUACUGCUUGAUGCAGGCUAAGAGGAAAAGUACGUUGACGGAUGAAGCUAGGAAUAAAAUAAAGAACAAAGAGAGAGUGACCGAACAAGAGACUGGACAUAAGUAAAUACUGGAGAGGCUUUUACACGUUGGAUUGAGCUUCGGGGAACGGUGGUGCUGUAAGUCAGAUACCGAGCUGGCACUGCUGCUGUUGAACUGCUUUCUAAAAAGGCGAUCAGUAUCAUCUCCAUCAACAAAUGCAACCUACAACCGCGACAGGUGUUCAGCUACUGAAUGAGGAAGAGGAGGAGGCUGAUGUCUUGUAAUCCAGGUCCUGAAGUUGCUGCAAUAAAAAUCAAAGAGCUGGAGUGUGAACGCCUUGAAAGAGACAAGACUACACCCAUUGAUGCAGAACAAUUUGAAGAUGAACGGGCCUUCCUACUAAACAGAGUCUAGUGCUGAUGAUCCACAGGCACCACCCACAGCUGAACUUUCCUCACAUUUCACUGGAAGAAACUGCUCCUAAACUUUCUGCCUGUCUGUAUCUUCAGCUGUGCAUCAUCAGAGCUCAGGUCCAUCAUAACAAAGCUCCAGGAUAGUGUAGACCCCCCCAAGCAGCUGAAUGUGUAAAUAAGUGCCCAAAUGUGCUUUAGAUUGUAUUUGUAUAGAAAGUCAAUGUUUGUCUAAUAUAUAACCAUUUUAUCUUGAUCUCUUUAA